rnacentral:rRNA from 1 species
AGAGACCGGCGCACGGGUGCGUAACGCGUAUGCAAUCUACCUUUCACAAAGGGAUAGCCCAGAGAAAUUUGGAUUAAUACCUUAUAGUAUAUAUGAAUGGCAUCAUUUAUAUAUUAAAGAUUUAUCGGUGAAAGAUGAGCAUGCGUCCCAUUAGCUUGUUGGUAAGGUAACGGCUUACCAAGGCAACGAUGGGUAGGGGUCCUGAGAGGGAGAUCCCCCACACUGGUACUGAGACACGGACCAGACUCCUACGGGAGGCAGCAGUGAGGAAUAUUGGACAAUGGGCGCAAGCCUGAUCCAGCCAUGCCGCGUGCAGGAUGACGGUCCUAUGGAUUGUAAACUGCUUUUGUACAGGAAGAAACAGUUCUACGUGUAGAACCUUGACGGUACUGUAAGAAUAAGGAUCGGCUAACUCCGUGCCAGCAGCCGCGGUAAUACGGAGGAUCCAAGCGUUAUCCGGAAUCAUUGGGUUUAAAGGGUCCGUAGGCGGUUAGAUAAGUCAGUGGUGAAAGCCCAUCGCUCAACGGUGGAACGGCCAUUGAUACUGUCUGACUUGAAUUAUUAGGAAGUAACUAGAAUAUGUAGUGUAGCGGUGAAAUGCUUAGAGAUUACAUGGAAUACCAAUUGCGAAGGCAGGUUACUACUAAUGGAUUGACGCUGAUGGACGAAAGCGUGGGUAGCGAACAGGAUUAGAUACCCUGGUAGUCCACGCCGUAAACGAUGGAUACUAGCUGUUGGGCGCAAGUUCAGUGGCUA